GUGCUCGCUUUGGCAGCACGUAUACUAAAAUUGGAAUGAUACAGAGAAGAUUAGCAUAGCCGCUGCACAAGAAAUGCUAGAGCAUGAGAACCUGUGG
rnacentral:snRNA from 1 species